UUCACUUCUAAUAUUCUUGUGCAGACACAACAUCCCCACACAAUCUCCACAAAUCUCCAUAAAUAAAAGCUCAAUCAUCAACUCAUCUCCAUCCUCUAAACGAAGCCAUACACAGACAUGACAAAAUCAAUAAUCACAAUUCAGACUUCUGCAAAUUAGCAUCAAAAUCCCAUCAUAGCAGAAUUUCUGCAGAAUUCCAGAUUUGGAACCCAAUUCCUACGGACACAGAUAGUAGAAACCUUCUUAAGGUCCUACAGAAGAGGAUAUUUAGGCUCUUGUUCAGCUGAGUUAUACUAUUUGGAUUUUCUCCAAAUCAGAUUGAGCAGCUGGUGGUGACGUGCGAAGCUGAGGAAGGGUUGUUGCUGUAAUAUUGAAGAACACUCUGUUUUACUUCCGCUGAAAUAAAUUCACUUGGUGAAUAUAAUCUUAUGCCUAACUAUACUUUAAAUCGUUUUAAUCUGGAUUCCAUUUUCCAUCGUUUUCCCAAGUGAUUGUUAUUCUGCAUAUAUAUAUUAUAUGCCUAAUAUGAAAUGUUUUUUUGGGCUCAGACCUUCGAACUUUCGAUCCUUUUAGGGAGAACAAUUAUAUCAUAAUAUCAUGCUUAUUACUUUUGGAAUAAGACAUAUUUUUCAAUUGA